AGAGUUUGAUCCUGGCUCAGGACGAACGCUGGCGGCGCGCCUAACACAUGCAAGUCGAACGAGCGAGAGAGAGUUUACUUUUUCGAGCGAGUGGCGAACGGGUGAGUAACGCGUGAGGAACCUGCCUCAAAGAGGGGGACAACAGUUGGAAACGACUGCUAAUACCGCAUAAGCCCACGACCCGGCAUCGGGUAGAGGGAAAAGGAGCAAUCCGCUUUGAGAUGGCCUCGCGUCCGAUUAGCUAGUUGGUGAGGUAACGGCCCACCAAGGCGACGAUCGGUAGCCGGACUGAGAGGUUGAACGGCCACAUUGGGACUGAGACACGGCCCAGACUCCUACGGGAGGCAGCAGUGGGGAAUAUUGCACAAUGGGGGAAACCCUGAUGCAGCGACGCCGCGUGGAGGAAGAAGGUCUUCGGAUUGUAAACUCCUGUUGUUGAGGAAGAUAAUGACGGUACUCAAUAAGGAAGUGACGGCUAACUACGUGCCAGCAGCCGCGGUAAAACGUAGGUCACAAGCGUUGUCCGGAAUUACUGGGUGUAAAGGGAGCGCAGGCGGGAAGACAAGUUGGAAGUGAAAUCCAUGGGCUCAACCCAUGAACUGCUUUCAAAACUGUUUUUCUUGAGUAGUGCAGAGGUAGGCGGAAUUCCCGGUGUAGCGGUGGAAUGCGUAGAUAUCGGGAGGAACACCAGUGGCGAAGGCGGCCUACUGGGCACCAACUGACGCUGAGGCUCGAAAGUGUGGGUAGCAAACAGGAUUAGAUACCCUGGUAGUCCACACUGUAAACGAUGAUUACUAGGUGUUGGAGGAUUGACCCCUUCAGUGCCGCAGUUAACACAAUAAGUAAUCCACCUGGGGAGUACGACCGCAAGGUUGAAACUCAAAGGAAUUGACGG
rnacentral:rRNA from 1 species